rnacentral:tRNA from 1 species
UAUAUAUUAGUGUAAAUAGCACAAAAAGUUUUGAUCUUUUAAGAAUUGGUGGAAUUCCAUUAUACAUAA